rnacentral:rRNA from 1 species
UACGUAGGGUGCAAGCGUUGUCCGGAAUUAUUGGGCGUAAAGAGCUCGUAGGCGGUCUGUUGCGUCGGCUGUGAAAACCCGGGGCUCAACCCCGGGCCUGCAGCCGAUACGGGCAGACUAGAGUUCGGCAGGGGAGACUGGAAUUCCUGGUGUAGCGGUGAAAUGCGCAGAUAUCAGGAGGAACACCGGUGGCGAAGGUGGGUCUCUGGGCCGAUACUGACGCUGAGGAGCGAAAGCGUGGGGAGCGAACAGG